AGAGUUUGAUCCUGGCUCAGAUUGAACGCUGGCGGCAUGCCUUACACAUGCAAGUCGAACGGCAGCACGGGAGCAAUCCUGGUGGCGAGUGGCGAACGGGUGAGUAAUGUAUCGGAACGUACCAUUGAGUGGGGGAUAACGUAGCGAAAGUUACGCUAAUACCGCAUAUACCCUGAGGGGGAAAGCAGGGGAUCGCAAGACCUUGUGCUCUUUGAGCGGCCGAUAUCAGAUUAGCUAGUUGGUGAGGUAAAGGCUCACCAAGGCGACGAUCUGUAGCGGGUCUGAGAGGAUGAUCCGCCACACUGGAACUGAGACACGGUCCAGACUCCUACGGGAGGCAGCAGUGGGGAAUUUUGGACAAUGGGGGCAACCCUGAUCCAGCCAUGCCGCGUGAGUGAAGAAGGCCUUCGGGUUGUAAAGCUCUUUCGGCCGGGAGGAAAUCGCAUCAGUUAAUACCUGGUGUGGAUGACAGUACCGGAAUAAGAAGCACCGGCUAACUACGUGCCAGCAGCCGCGGUAAUA
rnacentral:rRNA from 1 species